CAAUAUAUAACAUACCGUUCUAGUUCUCUCUCUCUCUCUCUCUUUCAACCAACAACUCCUAAUUCUCAAUUCUCUCUUGUUUGUUGAAGAUGAAACCUUUUACGCUUUUCUCCUUCUCGCUUCUGAGUUUGGUGCUUUCCAUCGUCUCUGGUUUGGGCCAAGCCCAGCAAUUCACUCCUUCCUCUUCUCCUGCUCCUGCUCCUUCAAGUGAUGGUAAAUUACUCCAAUCAUGUUUUCUUUUCUAUUCAAUCAUUCUUUAAUUCUUUUCUUUUAUCCUAAUAAACUUUUCUUUUUCUUCUUCUAUUUUUAAAUUAAAGCAGGCACUUCCCUUGAUCAAGGAAUUGCUUAUCUUCUUAUGCUGGUGGCGCUGGCAAUCACAUAUAUGUUCCAUUGAUCUAUAGCUAAUUACUUACUUCUAAUUCAAUUAUUUUGGGGGGAUGUUUCCCCUCAAGAUUCUUCAGUUGAGAAAAAUUUUGUAUUUUCUUUCUUCCAGAGCACUGUAAUUAUGAUUUAUGAAUGAAUUCUUCUUCUUAUCUUGCAGUGCUGGGUGCUCUUCCUUUUACUUUUACUUUUACCCUUUCUUUUUUCCGCUUUUCGCAUGCAGUUAUGCUUUUUCAAUUCUUUCCGGCAAAGCCAAGACUAGGUAUUAGAAUUUUAGAGACCCUCUCACACAAGUUUUAUCGCAAUAUAGUUCACGAAUUUCAAGGAUAAAAAACUUCCAUAACUCGCGCAUNNNNNNNNNNNNNNNNNNNNNNNNNNNNNNNNNNNNNNNNNNNNNNNNNNNNNNNNNNNNNNNNNNNNNNNNNNNNNNNNNNNNNNNNNNNNNNNNNNNNNNNNNNNNNNNNNNNNNNNNNNNNNNNGGCCAGAAUUAUGUACGUGUUAACUGUUAAGAUGUGAAAUGAGCGAUUAUAUAUAUAUAUUUCUACUAGGAGUGACUUUCUACUGCUCAAAUAUUUGAUUAAGAAUUAUUAAUCAACUCUAAUUGGUAAAUUUUUUAGCAAACUUAUUCUGCUGUCUAGAAUGACUCUAUACUAUUUGCAUGUUUUGUCAAUUUGAAGAUCUUGAUUAGAGUCAGAUACAAUAAAAGAGAUAAGUGAUGGAUUUUUUUGGAUAAAGGAUAUUUUUUGUCUUUAAAAUUUGGCAAAAAUUUUUAAAAUAUCUCUAAAUUUUAUUUUGUUUUAAUUUUGUUCCAAAAAUUUUUUAUUUGUAUUAAAUAUAUUUUCGAUGGCUAAAUUUUCAAAAAAUUUAAAACUAAUCUAACAAUAAUACAUGAAAAUUAUGUUUGAUUUACUUAUGUUGAGGGUUGUUUUUAUGAAAUUGUUAUUGAAUUGGUAUUAGAUUUCUUGAAAAAUUAGCUGUCAGAGGUAUAUUUGAUACAAAUAAAAAAUUUUAGAGACAAAAUUAAAACAAAAUAAAACUUAAAGAUAUUUUUAAAAUUUUUGUCAAAUUUUAAGAACAAAAAAUAUAUUUUAUUUUUUUUUUAAAUUCUUCAACAUAGAAACUAGAACAAGUGGUGAGAGAAGUUGGUCACAGCCUCACAGGUCCUUUAUGAGUGGGGAUGAUUAGCAGAGGAUUUGAAUACGAGAAACUCAAAGAAAUUAAUAAUAGCAUAAGUCAAUUCAAUUAAUUUUUUUUAUUUUUAAUUUUAAAAUUUUAGAAAAGUUAAAUUACACAGUUUUUAUAUUUUUGGUGAAUUGUAAAUUGGCUCCUACAUUUUAAAAGUUUAUAAUUGAAUCUUUAAAGAGAAUUAAAAUUUACAAUUUAAUUUUUUCUGUUAAAAAAAUGUUUGAUUUAACAGAAUAUUCUUAACAUAUGCUGAAAUAUUCUAUUAAAUCAAACACUUUUGAACAAUGGGGACUAAAUUAUAAAUUUUAAUUCUCUUUAGGUACUCAAUUAUAAAUUUUUAAAGUAUAGAGACCAAUUUACAAUUUCACUAUAGGGAUCAACUGUGUAAUUUAACCUUUUAGAAAAUACGAAUAGUGAAAAGUUGUUUUAUUUUUUAGAAUAAAACUCUACUUCCAAACAAAAUCCUUAUACAAGUCUAUCUAACUUGUUGUAACAACUUUUCAAAUCACGUGCUGUUCCCUCCUCCUUCUCCUUCUCCUUCUCCUUCUCCUUCUCCAUUUCUUUGUCUUUCUCCUUCUCUUCAUCUUCGUAUUUCUCCUCCUCAUCCUCCUCCUCCUUCCAAAUUUGUACACGCAGAUUUUUCUUCUUUUCUUUUUCUUUUCUUCGUCCUUCUUCUCCUUCUGUUAGAGAUAAUCAAUUCAAUUCUGAAUAUCUGCGUCCAUUCAAUUUAAAACAAUUCAAUUCAAUUUAUAAUGAAUCGAACAUAUUAUUAAGGUGAAACAAUUGUAUAGUACUAAAUGAACAGAACAUUAUUCAUUAUAUAAAAUCAAAUUCAAAAUAGCUUUCUGCAUGUUAUUAAUGUGAAACAAUUGUAUAGUACUAAAUGAACGGAACAUUAUCCAUUAUAUAAAAUCAAAUUCAAAACACCUGUUUUUACAAUUUAGAGAUUAUCAAUUCAAUUCAACUCAAAACACCUGCGUCCAUUCAAUUCAACUUAGCAAUUGCAUUUCAUUCAAUUCGAUUAAAAAACAAUCCAUUAACAAUAUGUUGGUAUUGUUGGUGAUGACGAUAAAAAAAGAGGAGAAGAAGAAGAAGAAGAAGAGCAGAAGGAGGAGAAGCAGAAGAAGAAUCUGCGUGCGCGAGGAGGAGGUGGAGGAUGUAUGCGUAAAUUUGAAAGAAAAAGAAGAUGAUAUAUGCAUGUAUUUGAAAGAAAAAGAAGAAGAAGCGCAUGGGAGAAGAAGAAAAAAAAAGUGCGGGGAGGAGAAGAAGAAAAAGCGUGUGUAAUGACGCUCUUUUAAUGAAAGUGGUUUUUGUUGGUGUUAGACCUACUUGAAUAAACUUGGAUGAAAAAAUAUUUUGAUGUAUAACAAUAUCCUAUUUUUUAUAUGUAACUAACAUAUUUUUUAACUAAUUAAUUAUAAUGGGUUAUAUCUCGAGUUGGUUCUCUAGUAAAAUUUUUUGAAUAUUACAAACUAAGUAAUAUUGUAUAAAGUAAUAUUACAGACUAAGUAAUAUUGUUCUAACUUUUGGUGCUGAGCUCAUUCUUAAAAAAAAACCACGUUAUAACGGUCAACAAACUUGCAAUGGCUAAUGUUGCUCACUAUUGCCGCCUAUCUAACCGAAUGAGUGCAACUGCAAAUGGCAGAUGCUGCAUCCUAAGCAUGAUUAGGAUAUAUAAUAAUAAUAUCACGUCAAUGCUGCACCAAAACAGAGUUCCACAUGGCAAAUUGCUCAGAAAGCAGUUUCCACAUGCAGUCAGUCACGUGCAUCACGUGCCUGAGUUAUUACUAUACAGGUUGGUGUGAAUGUGUGAUCCACAUAAUCAGUUUACUAAGUUUUGGUGGCGCAGGUCUUGGACUCUUCACUCUUGGCCUUUUCCUUUGCUGUACUUUAAUUUUAUAAUAAUGAAAGAGAUAAUAUUAUUUUUUGUUCAGCUGGGGUUAGAUGAUUAGGCUUUACUUUGGGUGAGUGAGUGAAGUGUGAAGCCAAAAAAAGAAAGUUCCUAUAAAGAAUAAACAAGACAAUCCACUUUUGCUUCAAAAACCGAAAUCCCCAUGUCAUGUGCUUAUAUUCAAAGCCCUUUUCUCACUUCUCUCAUUCACUGUGCUUAGCUUGUUUACAGUUACAACACUCUUUGCCUUUGUCUGAGUGCAGCCAUGGAUGCCAAGUGUUGGCGCAAUUCUUCUAGCCGGAGAUCAAUCCAAUUGGGAAGGAGCAGUUACAGUGAGAUUGAAGACAUAAGGUCGUUAUCAGGGACAAGAUCAAGUAAGUUGAGGUGGAAGAUUCUGUGGAUGAAGCUCAAGAAAGAGAAGAAGAAGCUUUUUGAGUGUGCAAGUGCAACAACACCCUUUCAGGUCCCUUAUGAUUCAUACACUUACUCUCAGAAUUUUGAUCAGGGGACUGCUGCACUUGAUGAACCUGACAUUCUCUCUAGAUCUUUCUCUGUUCGCUUUGCUGAUCCUUCUAGAGUAGUCCUUGUAAAGAAAGGUCUAGUUUCAGCCCAACUCUAAGGAAAUUUCUGUUUCUAUCACUUAUUUUUGGAUCAUUUUCUUUUAAUCCUUGGUUAGGCUUCUUCCCUUUCUAUUAUUAGACUAUGAGCAAUUGUAAUAAUCACUUGUAUAUGCAUUUAUGCAUUGCUUAUUUAUGGUAACAUUUGUGACUUCAACAUAUAUAUUCUUUUCA
rnacentral:lncRNA from 1 species